rfam:Amborella trichopoda AMTR_V1.0_contig_24967, whole genome shotgun sequence.
UCCACACUCAUGUAUGCUGGACUUCAAAGGAUCAACCAUUAAAUUUGGCAUAGAUCUUUAGAAAAGUUAUCACAUGACUGUGAAAUUUGACUUUCUUAGAGAUCUGUGUCAAAUUUAAUGGUAAUCUUUUGGGGUCCUACACACAUGGGUGAGGA